UCCAGACUCCUACGGGAGGCAGCAGUGGGGGAUAUUGCACAAUGGGGGGAACCCUGAUGCAGCGACGCCGCGUGAGUGAAGAAGUAAUUCGUUAUGUAAAGCUCUAUCAGCAGGGAAGAAAAUGACGGUACCUGAGUAAGAAGCCCCGGCUAACUACGUGCCAGCAGCCGCGGUAAUACGUAGGGGGCAAGCGUUAUCCGGAUUUACUGGGUGUAAAGGGAGCGUAGACGGCAGUGCAAGUCUGGAGUGAAAGGCGGGGGCGCAACCCCCGGACUGCUCUUGGAACUGCGCGGCUGGAGUGCAGGAGGGGCAGGCGGAAUUCCUGGUGUAGCGGUGAAAUGCGUAGAUAUCAGGAGGAACACCGGUGGCGAAGGCGGCCUGCUGGACUGCGACUGACGUUGAGGCCCGAAAGCGUGGGGAGCAAACAGGAUUAGAUACCCUUGUAUGG
rnacentral:rRNA from 1 species